UACGUGAGGGUGCAAGCGUUGUCCGGAAUUAUUGGGCGUAAAGAGCUCGUAGGCGGUCUGUCGCGUCGGCUGUGAAAACCCGGAGCUCAACUCCGGGCCUGCAGUCGAUACGGGCAAACUGGAGUACUGCAGGGGAGACUGGAAUUCCUGGUGUAGCGGUGAAAUGACGCAGAUAUCAGGAGGAACACCGGUGGCGAAGGCGGGUCUCUGGGCAGUAACUGACGCUGGAGGAGCGAAAGCGUGGGAGCGAACAGG
rnacentral:rRNA from 1 species